rnacentral:tRNA from 1 species
GGAUAGCUCAGAUGGA